GACGAACGCUGGCGGCGUGCUUAACACAUGCAAGUCGAACGGAAAGGCCCUGCUUUUGUGGUGUGCUCGAGUGGCGAACGGGUGAGUAACACGUGAGUAACCUGCCCUUGACUUUGGGAUAACUUCAGGAAACUGGGGCUAAUACCGGAUAGGAGCUCCUGCUGCAUGGUGGGGGUUGGAAAGUUUCGGCGGUUGGGGAUGGACUCGCGGCUUAUCAGCUUGUUGGUGGGGUAGUGGCUUACCAAGGCUUUGACGGGUAGCCGGCCUGAGAGGGUGACCGGCCACAUUGGGACUGAGAUACGGCCCAGACUCCUACGGGAGGCAGCAGUGGGGAAUAUUGCACAAUGGGCGGAAGCCUGAUGAAGCAACGCCGCGUGCGGGAUGAAGGACUUCGGGUUGUAAACCGCUUUCGCCUGUGACGAAGCGUGAGUGGCGGUAAUGGGUAAAGAAGCACCGGCUAACUACGUG
rnacentral:rRNA from 1 species